rnacentral:ribozyme from 12 species
AGAAGAAAACAAAAUGCAAUAACAUAGAUGAAAACGCGUGCACUCCUUCUUUCUCUCUUCUUCUUUUGUGUCUUUUCUAAUCUUCUCCCCCCCUUCCCCUUCUUCUUUCUCU